UAUUUUUUGCAAAUAUUUUAACAUAAUAUUAGAACAACUAAUCAUCUGAAAAUACCAAAUGCUUCUGGAAAGAAUGCAGCCUAUUUUUCAUUCGUUCCAUAUCGCAGUCUGCAUCAGGUCAAGAGGGAGAUCGGUACAAUCAGGCUUCUGCAUCACCCUAACAUAGUAGAGAUAUACAAGGUAAUUGCGGCAAAGAAGAAGAUUUAUCUUGCAGUGGAGUAUAUCUCUGGAGGACAGCUUUCUGAUAAGUUGUUCCAUCUUAAAAGGUUAGAUGAAAGAGGGGCAGGGAAAUACUUUCAGCAGUUAAUUGAUGCAGUGGAUUACUGCCAUGGCAGAGGUCUCUACCAUAGAGGUUUCAAGGUUAGAAUCCAACUUAUGAACUGGUAAUAUCUUGCUGCAUUUAAGAGUCCCCCCUUUUUUUUCUUUUUGGGAGAUUGGAUUAUUUGACAUUGGAUUCUUAACAAUGUCACCGUAAACAGUCAGAGAAUCUGCUAAUAGAUAUUUUGGGCUCACCGUGUUGAGAAAGGUGAGGAUAGAUCUCUGGUUUCCAAUAGACCAGCUUAGGUACUUAAUUUAUGCAAUACUUUGGAGCUAGAAGUUUUCAGAUUUUGUUCUGAUGAUUUUCUUCGUAUUGGAUGCAUUCAGCCAGGAGACUUGCUAUCAAGUGCCUGCGGAUCGCCAAGUUACGUGGCUCCUGAGGCAUGAAAUGACGUAUUCAAAUUUAAAAUACCAUUAAAUAGAUGGAAAGUUUGAUUUGUUUGGUGCCUUCGUGGCUUGGCGAUGGAAUAGCUACCGAGAUGUGCAACUAAAACUUAUGCUGAGCAGGGGUGUAUCGGAUUGGGUAUG